rnacentral:tRNA from 1 species
CUCUCGAUGGUGUAGUUGGUUGAUCACGUUCGGCUGUAAUGGGUAAUUGUAACCGAAAGGUCCCUGGUUCGAUUCCGGGUCGAGAGA